rnacentral:misc_RNA from 1 species
GAUGAAGAACGUAGCGAAAUGCGAUAAGUAAUGUGAAUUGCAGAAUUCAGUGAAUCAUCGAAUCUUUGAACGCACCUUGCGCCCUUUGGACUUCUGAAGGGCAUGCCUGUUUGAGUAUCAUGAACACCUCAACUCCUUAUGGUCUUCCAUGAUGAGCUUGGACUUUGGGGGUUUUGCUGGCCUACAGUCAGCUCCUCUAAAAUAAAUCAGCUUACCGGUGUUUGGUGGGUAUCAUGGGUGUGAUAACUAUCUACGCUCGUGGUUUUCCACCAGGUAACCUUCAGCAGUGGAGGUUCACUGGAGCUAAUAGAUGUCUCUCCUCAGCGAGGACAGCCCUUUGAAUGUUUGAUCUCAAAUCAGGUAGGACUACCCGCUGAACUUAAGCAUAUCAAUAAGCGGAGGA